CCUCUUAGGCAAAUCCGGGACCCUUUAUGCCGAGCACCGAGACGAGCCCUUUUGGGCGAAGUGACUGACACCACGCUUCCAGGAAAAGCCACUAAGCUUCAGCUGUAGAAAAACCGUACCGUAAACCGACACUGGUAGGCAGGGUGAGAAUCCCAAGGCGCUUGAGAGAACUCGGGUGAAGGAACUAGGCAAAAUGGCACCGUAACUUCGGGAGAAGGUGCGCCCUUUAGCGUGGUCACAUGCGUGACUGAGCGUUGAAGGGUCGCAGUAACCUGGCCGCUGCGACUGUUUAUCAAAAACACAGCACUCUGCAAACACGAAAGUGGACGUAUAGGGUGUGACGCCUGCCCGGUGCUGGAAGGUUAAUUGAUGGGGUCAGCCGCAAGGCGAAGCUCUUGAUCGAAGCCCCAGUAAACGGCGGCCGUAGCUAUAACGGUCCUAAGGUAGCGAAAUUCCUUGUCGGGUAAGUUCCGACCUGCACGAAUGGCGUAACGACAGCGGCGCUGUCUCCACCCGAGACUCAGUGAAAUUGAAUUCGCUGUGAAGAUGCAGCGUUCCCGCGGCAAGACGGAAAGACCCCGUGAACCUUUACUAUAGCUUUACACUGAACGUUGAGUUCUUCUGUGUAGGAUAGGUGGGAGGCUUUGAAGCGCAGACGCUAGUUUGCGUGGAGCCAACCUUGAAAUACCACCCUGAAGUGCUUGACGUUCUAACCUAGGCCCGUAAUCCGGGUCAGGGACCGUGUAUGGUGGGUAGUUUGACUGGGGCGGUCUCCUCCCAAAGAGUAACGGAGGAGCACGAAGGUACGCUCAGCGCGGUCGGACAUCGCGCACUGUGUGCGAUGGCAUAAGCGUGCUUGACUGCGAGAUCGACGGAUCAAGCAGGUACGAAAGUAGGUCAUAGUGAUCCGGUGGUUCUGUAUGGAAGGGCCAUCGCUCAACGGAUAAAAGGUACUCCGGGGAUAACAGGCUGAUACCGCCCAAGAGUUCAUAUCGACGGCGGUGUUUGGCACCUCGAUGUCGGCUCAUCACAUCCUGGGGCUGUAGCCGGUCCCAAGGGUAUGGCUGUUCGCCAUUUAAAGUGGUACGCGAGCUGGGUUCAGAACGUCGUGAGACAGUUCGGUCCCUAUCUGUCGUGGGCGUUGGAGAUUUGAGGGGGGCUGCUCCUAGUACGAGAGGACCGGAGUGGACGUUCCGCUGGUGUUCGGGUUGUCAUGCCCAUGGCAUUGCCCGGUAGCUAUGAACGGAAGUGAUAACCGCUGAAAGCAUCUAAGCGGGAAGCACGCCCCAAGAUGAGAUCUCCCGAGAGCUAGACUCUCCUUAAGGCACCAUGAAGACUACGUGGUUGAUAGGUCAGGUGUGGAAGUGCAGCAAUGCAUUGAGCUAACUGAUACUAAUGAGCCGUGAGGCUUGAUCG
rnacentral:rRNA from 1 species